GGGGGUAUAGCUCAGAGGUAGAGCAUGUGCUUAGCAUGUGUGAGGUCCUGGGUUCAAUCUGCAGUACUGCCA
rnacentral:tRNA from 1 species